UCACGUUACUCGCUCGUGUUCACUCGUGUCAGUUUCUAAUAUUCACCCAUAAUAAGGACCCAAAAAUCGAGAAAGACGUGAACUAACCAGGUUCUCCUGAUUCCUCCUCCAGCUCCUCCUCAAACCUCCUCCCCUCUCUCUUCGUCCCUCAUCAGAAUUAGAGUUGUUGUGUUUUCUCUGGUUCUCCUGGUUCUCGUUGCGGUUCUGGUCCUGGUUGGAGUUGUGAGCCUGAGCAGGAAUCAGUCAGAUGCAGUCCGACAUGUUCAGAGGAGACACGCUGCAGGUGUGCCUUUGCUGACAGCUACAGUUGUGGCUGUGUUGCUGUAUGGACUGUUUGUUUCUGCAGCCUCCUCUGUGUCUGUGAUCAGACUCUUCUGCCAUCUAGUGGUCUGCUGUCCAUCUGCUGCAGCAGGAAGACGGGAGACAAACCAGCCGUCUCCAUGGAGACAAACCAGCCGUCUCCAUGGAAACGAGACAAACCAGCCGUCUCCAUGGAGACGAGACAAUCCAGCCGUCUCCAUGGCGACGACCCAGCAUGUUGAAGGAAGGAGUGGGCUGGAUGAAGAGUACGAUGACAUCACUGCUGAUGUCACCACUGAGUAUGACGUCUGUACACACUGACUAUAGAUCAGUAGCUCAUCAGAUCUGAACUGUCCCUUUAAAUGAAUCACAGGCUCAUUGUUCUUGGUGUAUUUAAUAUGCAGAGUUCAUGUCUCUGUUUUACACUGUGGACAUUGUUACAUAUUCUUUUGUCAUACUUCAUGUCAUCCUGAUCAAAUGUGACUUAUAAAUAUUCAGUUCAAAUGUUUUCAUGAGGUGUCGACCUGAAUAACUUCCUGAGUUAAAUUCAGUUCCAGCAUUUAGUGAAUCUGUAAUAUUCAUUUAGUUAAAGCAUGUGGUUUUCAGAGCUACGAUUACACUCAUUUACUGACAUCAGCUCCAUUCAUAUGUACUAUGUUCAUAUUAAAUGUGUCUGACAUUCAUUCAUAAAGUAUA